rnacentral:rRNA from 1 species
GANCCACCAAGGCGACGAUCAGUAGCCGGCCUGAGAGGGUGAACGGCCACAUUGGGACUGAGACACGGCCCAAACUCCUACGGGAGGCAGCAG